rnacentral:rRNA from 1 species
UCUACGGGAGGCUGCAGUCGAGAAUCAUUCACAAUGGGGGAAACCCUGAUGGUGCGACGCCGCGUGAGCGAUGAAGUAUUUCGGUAUGUAAAGCUCUAUCAGCAGGGAAGAAAAUGACGGUACCUGACUAAGAAGCACCGGCUAACUACGUGCCAGCAGCCGCGGUAAUACGUAGGGGGCAAGCGUUAUCCGGAUUUACUGGGUGUAAAGGGAGCGUAGACGGCGGUGCAAGCCAGAUGUGAAAGCCCGGGGCUCAACCCCGGGACUGCAUUUGGAACUGUGCUGCUAGAGUGUCGGAGAGGCAGGCGGAAUUCCUAGUGUAGCGGUGAAAUGCGUAGAUAUUAGGAGGAACACCAGUGGCGAAGGCGGCCUGCUGGACGAUGACUGACGUUGAGGCUCGAAAGCGUGGGGAGCAAACAGGAUUAGAUACCCGGGUAGUC